rnacentral:rRNA from 1 species
AGUGAACGCUGGCGGUAGGCCUAACACAUGCAAGUCGAACGGCAGCACAGUAAGAGCUUGCUCUUACGGGUGGCGAGUGGCGGACGGGUGAGGAAUACAUCGGAAUCUACUUUUUCGUGGGGGAUAACGUAGGGAAACUUACGCUAAUACCGCAUACGACCUACGGGUGAAAGCAGGGGAUCUUCGGACCUUGCGCGAUUGAAUGAGCCGAUGUCGGAUUAGCUAGUUGGCGGGGUAAAGGCCCACCAAGGCGACGAUCCGUAGCUGGUCUGAGAGGAUGAUCGGCCACACUGGAACUGAGACACGGUCCAGACUCCUACGGGAGGCAGCAGUGGGGAAUAUUGGACAAUGGGCGCAAGCCUGAUCCAGCCAUACCGCGUGAGUGAAGAAGGCCUUCGGGUUGUAAAGCCCUGUUGUUGGGAAAGAAAAGCAGCAGAUUAAUACCCCGCUGUUCUGACGGUACCCAAAGAAUAAGCACCGGCUAACUUCGUG